UCUCCAGAGUAAUUAACAGGCGUUAUCUACCCAAGGAAUGGAACAAAUAGGAAGUUCAGGUUCUAAGGAGCUGCCUUGUUUGUGCCAGUGGCCCCACGCUAGCUCUUUAUUAAUUGCACCACCUGGGAUGCUGAUAGGGAACUGAGCUUUGGAACAUUUCAGGCCUGGCAUGGAAUGCAGUUUUUACACAAGCUGCCACAGGGCACUGCUCUCCAUGUGCUUUCUUUCCUGACCACUCUUCAAUUAAGAAGUGUGUUAUUCCCUUUCAGCCGGAAAAUUCUGUGAUUUCUUGUCUUGUGGUUCAGAAAUCCGAUUUCACAGCUUAUCUUCCGUUAGAUGAAAGUGUUUACGGUGUGUCUGGACCUGGAGUAUUGGAAACAGGCUGGGUCAUCAUCCCACUCACUGUACCACCAUAGGUGGCACCUCAUCACAGCUUCAUCAUGGCUUUGUGUCUGUACAUCCUGCUCACAGCUGACCCAGUGUGAAAUAUGAGUGCACGAGUGAGAUCAAGAUCUAGAGGAAAGGGAGAUGGAAAAAAGUCUUCUAAGCAGGAAGAACCUGUGGUUGCUAAACAACCAGGUGAAAAAACAUCACAGCAAAAGGAACUACCAACUGAGAAUCCAGAUAUUGAGACUGGGCAAGAGAAAGAAGGAGCACCUGUGGCUCAAGAACCUGAACUGGAAAGUGAAACCCAGGGAAUGGGUCUGGAAAAGACUGGAGCUGAGCAUGUAGAUUGCCCUGAGGUGAGAAAGGAAGACUCCACCUAAUCCAGCACCUGCUAAAAUUCCAGAAGCAUGUGAUGAACAGUCAUAUGUUCAAAAGAAGACAAGCUGAAGCCAUACAUAUGCUUUGUUAUGUUGAUAAUUUGGCUUAAGUUCUCUCAAUAAAGCCUUAAUAAAAUUUGCUCAGAAGAA